CAAAGAUCAACCAGCAGAGUGACGCAGAUGUUCCAGCUGCCAUUUCCGUAUUUUUCAACUUCAUACAACUUCAUUCAUUCAUCGUCAUGGAGCGUCAUUGGUUUUCGAUUGAUGGAACUCCUUUCAGAUUUACAUACUGCUGUUGUGGAGAGCCUAACUAUAGCCACAGAGAGCACUGCCUACACAUGAACUGGGCAGGUAAGGGGGGGACAGUAUACACCUGAGAAUACCCAGACUUAUUUGGUGUGUCAAGUACUUACUGUUAUUUUGAACCUAAGCAACCAGUGUAUUUAAUGUAUCUUUCUUACCAUAUCACAUAAAAAACGUGGUAUUUCAUUCAUUUAGAAUAUAUACGUCAAUGUAUAUAUCAAAUUACAUUUAUAUAUUUAUGUAUUUGUGAAAGUA
ensembl:lncRNA